rnacentral:rRNA from 1 species
AUGAACGCUGGCGGCGUGCCUAAUACCUGCAAGUCGAGCGAACAGAUAAGGAGCUUGCUCCUUUGACGUUAGCGGCGGACGGGUGAGUAACACGUGGGUAACCUACCUAUAAGACUGGGAUAACUUCGGGAAACCGGAGCUAAUACCGGAUAACAUUUGGAACCGCAUGGUUCUAAAGUGAAAGAUGGUUUUGCUAUCACUUAUAGAUGGACCCGCGCCGUAUUAGCUAGUUGGUAAGGUAACGGCUUACCAAGGCGACGAUACGUAGCCGACCUGAGAGGGUGAUCGGCCACACUGGAACUGAGACCCGGUCCAGACUCCUACGGGAGGCAGCAGUAGGGAAUCUUCCGCAAUGGGCGAAAGCCUGACGGAGCAACGCCGCGUGAGUGAUGAAGGGUUUCGGCUCGUAAAACUCUGUUAUUAGGGAAGAACAAAUGUGUAAGUAACUGUGCACGUCUUGACGGUACCUAAUCAGAAAGCCACGGCUAACUACGUG